GAUGAACGCUGGCGGCGUGCCUAAUACAUGCAAGUCGAGCGAACAGACGUGGAGCUUGCUCCUCCGACGUUAGCGGCGGACGGGUGAGUAACACGUGGAUAACCUACCUAUAAGACUGGGAUAACUUCGGGAAACCGGAGCUAAUACCGGAUAAUAUAUUGAACUGCAUGGUUCAAUAGUGAAAGACGGUUUUGCUGUCACUUAUAGAUGGAUCCGCGUCGCAUUAGCUAGUUGGUAAGGUAACGGCCUACCAAGGCAACGCAGCGUAGCCGACCUGAGAGGGGGAUCGGCCCCACUGGACCUGAGCCACGGUCCGGCCUCCUACGGGAGGCGGCGGUGGGGAAUCUUCCGCAAUGGGCGAAGGCCUGACGGGGCACCGCCGCGUGGGUGAUGAAGGUCUUCGGAUCGUAAUACUCUGUUAUUUGGGAAGAACAACUGUGUAAGUAACUGUGCACGUCUUGACGGUACCUGAUCAGAAAGCCCCGGCUAACUACGUG
rnacentral:rRNA from 1 species